rnacentral:tRNA from 1 species
GGGCGUUUAGCUCAGCUGGUUAGAGCAUCACGUUUACACCGUGGAGGUCAGAGGUUCGAAUCCUCUAGCGCCCA